rnacentral:lncRNA from 1 species
AAAUGAAUGUUCCAACUCCAAAGGUAUUGUGAUCUUUGUGAUCACCUAUCAUAAGAAGUGAAAUCCAUAGACUAUUCCACAUAGAAAUCUUCAAAAGAUCUCUACUCAAGAAAGCUAUUUCACAUCCUUUCUUGGAGUCGAUGUCUCACAUCGUCUCAUUGUAGGUUCUAGGAUCAUCUCUAUGUUUCCUAUCUCCCAUGAGAAAUAUUUUUUUCUACAAUCUCUAUUAAACAUACUCAAGUACCUUUCAAGAAGAUUGAAGAUCCUACUAUGUGUACGAGGU